GAAAAGCCUAAUUGGAGCCCACUAAGGGUCGGGAAAAAUCCCGAGGCACUUCCAAUAAUUAGUAGACCACGUCUACUUGCUAAUUGCGCAAUCAAUUUAUCUAAAUCACAUCACAAUUGACUAAUAAUUGCUAAUUUAUUCUAAUCUAACAACCUAAACAUAAUUAAUUAAAACUAAACCAACCUUAAGCAUAAUUAGCCAACUAAUC
rnacentral:lncRNA from 1 species